AAAAUGAGAAUAAAACAAGCAAGUAGCCAACAAAGAGGAGGGAGAAAAUCACUCAUACUUAUCCAAAAAUCAAAAGGUUACAGACAGUGACUCCUGUCAGAAAAACAGCAAACAACAAAGAAGAAAAAUGUGUGAUUGCUGUGCGAACAUCAAGAGAUGAGGCUAAUCAGACCCGCCAAUCCACCAACGAUCAUCUUCAACGUUGCUAUCGAUCCAGCUGAUGUUUUAUUAAUAAGGCGCGGCUCAAGGUGGACAAAGUAAAAAAACAACAGAAGAAGAAAAGACAGAGCAGCAGGAAACAAACCAAUCCGUAAGAAAAGCACACAGAAAAAACAAAACCAUAAAUGCAGAAAACCACCCUGAGCCAAACAACGGAACGCCACAACUAAACCAUCAGCCAAAAAAACCAUCUUCUCCAAUGUAAAUCCGCAUAUGAGCCAAGAGAAGCAAAAGAAAAAGAAAGCUUUGAAACCCAGUCAUGGAGAUUCCUCAGAACCUUCUCCAUUCUCAAAGCCUCCAAAAAGCACUUCAACGAUCCUGAUUCCAAACCCUCCAAUCCUCUGCCGCCAUCUUUCGCACCGAGUUCGGAGCUUCUUCAGUCCAGAAACAUGGUAGCUGGCAUCGUCGUCCUUCGAGGGCUAAGAGAAUCUCCUUCAAGCUGAAGGCAUUGAAAGCCCAUCUCAAGCGCAAACGACAAAGCCCUUUCACACGCCCUAGCCUCAGCAACAAAGGCAUUGACAAUAUCCUGAGAUGGGUUCGUGAGGAAUAAUUUCUAAUGAUUCUAUAUUCUCUUUAUCCAUAAUGACAAACGCUAUCGUGGGCACAUUCUUGUUCCUAUCUUGUGCAACCGAAAUAAGUAGGUUCUGUGUAUAUUUUUCGUAUGGCCGGAUCUUAUUUACCUGCACAAGCGACUUGCAUUAGGCAAAUGCUUUCAGUAGCCGACACCAUUGUCUCCACAUCUUUAUCGUCUACAAGUUUCAUAUCGGUAUAUUUGAUGAGAUUCGUCGAAACUAAAAGCUUGUAGAAAAAUUUCAAGAUCCUUCUCUUAUUACGUCUAGCAAUUUUUUCACUAAUCUUUUUCUUCAUAUAAUCAAUCGAGAUAUUCCUAUUAAAUCUCUUUGCUAUUUUUUGGCGACAUUCAAAUAUAUAUCUAACUGUUGUCAGAGUUACACCAUGGAAAUAAA